rnacentral:lncRNA from 1 species
UGUUGAGGCAAAAUCCCUAAUUAAUUUUAAAGAUAAUAAACUUUAAUGAUUAAGGAUUAAAUGGACUUUGAUUAAUUCCUUGGUAUUUAACUUGUGCUCUUGAGUGUUUUCACUAAGACAGGAACAAGGUCUGAAUCAUACCAAGAUGCAUAAAAUCAAAGGACAUUGAAUCCAUGAACUAAUUCUAAAGUUCAGAAAGUUAGUUCAGAAUGUUGAUCAGA